rnacentral:rRNA from 1 species
CCUACGGGAGGCAGCAGUCGGGAAUCUUGCACAAUGGGCGAAAGCCUGAUGCAGCAACACCGUGUGAACGAUGAAGGCCUUAGGGUUGUAAAGUUCUGUUGUUGGGGACGAAGGGUGAAGGGUUAAUAGCCCGGAACCUGACGGUACCCUUCGAGGAAGCCCCGGCUAACUACGUGCCAGCAGCCGCGGUAAUACGUAGGGGGCGAGCGUUGUCCGGAAUUAUUGGGCGUAAAGAGCGUGUAGGCGGUUCGGUAAGUCUGCUGUGAAAUCCUGGGGCUCAACCCUGGGCGUGCAGCGGAUACUGCCGGGCUAGAGGGUGGUAGAGGCGAGUGGAAUUCCCGGUGUAGCGGUGAAAUGCGCAGAUAUCGGGAGGAACACCAGUAGCGAAGGCGGCUCGCUGGGCCACCUGACGCUGAGACGCGAAAGCGUGGGGAGCAAACAGGAUUAGAUACCCUGGUAGUCCACGCCGUAAACGAUGAACACUAGGUGUGGGCGGAGUCGAAUCUGUCUGUGCCGAAGCCAACGCGAUAAGUGUUCCGCCUGGGGAGUACGGCCGCAAGGCUAAAACUCAAAAGAAUUGACGGGGGCCCGCACAAGCAGCGGAGCAUGUUCUUUAAUUUGAUGCAACGCGAAGAACCUUACCUGGACUUGACAUGGUGCUGCAAGCGCACGGAAACGUGUGACCUUCGAGGGUGCACCACAGAUGCUGCAUGGCUGUCGUCAGCUCGUGUCGUGAGAUGUUGGGUUAAGUCCCGCAACGAGCGCAACCCCCGUGGCGUGUUGCCAGCAUUAAGUUGGGGACUCACGCCAGACUGCCGGUGACAAACCGGAGGAUGUGGGGACGACGUCAAGUCAUCAUGGCUCUUACGUCCAGGCUAGAAACGUGCUACAAUGGCAUGUACAAAGGGUUGCAAAGGCCGCGGAGGUGGAGCGAAUCCCAUCAAAGCAUGUCUAAGUUCGGAUCGCAGUCUGCAACUCGACUGCGUGAAGGCGGAGUUGCUAGUAAUCGCGAUCAGCAUGCCGCGGUGAUACGUUUCCCGG